rnacentral:rRNA from 1 species
GGGUUGUGAGGUUAAGCGACUAAGCGUACACGGUGGAUGCCCUGGCAGUCAGAGGCGAUGAAGGACGUGCUAAUCUGCGAUAAGCGUCGGUAAGGUGAUAUGAACCGUUAUAACCGGCGAUUUCCGAAUGGGGAAACCCAGUGUGUUUCGACACACUAUCAUUAACUGAAUCCAUAGGUUAAUGAGGCGAACCGGGGGAACUGAAACAUCUAAGUACCCCGAGGAAAAGAAAUCAACCGAGAUUCCCCCAGUAGCGGCGAGCGAACGGGGAGCAGCCCAGAGCCUGAAUCAGUGUGUGUGUUAGUGGAAGCGUCUGGAAAGGCGCGCGAUACAGGGUGACAGCCCCGUACACAAAAAUGCACAUACUGUGAGCUCGAUGAGUAGGGCGGGACACGUGGUAUCCUGUCUGAAUAUGGGGGGACCAUCCUCCAAGGCUAAAUACUCCUGACUGACCGAUAGUGAACCAGUACCGUGAGGGAAAGGCGAAAAGAACCCCGGCGAGGGGAGUGAAAAAGAACCUGAAACCGUGUACGUACAAGCAGUGGGAGCCUCUUUUAUGGGGUGACUGCGUACCUUUUGUAUAAUGGGUCAGCGACUUAUAUUCUGUAGCAAGGUUAACCGAAUAGGGGAGCCGAAGGGAAACCGAGUCUUAACCGGGCGUUAAGUUGCAGGGUAUAGACCCGAAACCCGGUGAUCUAGCCAUGGGCAGGUUGAAGGUUGGGUAACACUAACUGGAGGACCGAACCGACUAAUGUUGAAAAAUUAGCGGAUGACUUGUGGCUGGGGGUGAAAGGCCAAUCAAACCGGGAGAUAGCUGGUUCUCCCCGAAAGCUAUUUAGGUAGCGCCUCGUGAAUUCAUCUCCGGGGGUAGAGCACUGUUUCGGCAAGGGGGUCAUCCCGACUUACCAACCCGAUGCAAACUGCGAAUACCGGAGAAUGUUAUCACGGGAGACACACGGCGGGUGCUAACGUCCGUCGUGAAGAGGGAAACAACCCAGACCGCCAGCUAAGGUCCCAAAGUCAUGGUUAAGUGGGAAACGAUGUGGGAAGGCCCAGACAGCCAGGAUGUUGGCUUAGAAGCAGCCAUCAUUUAAAGAAAGCGUAAUAGCUCACUGGUCGAGUCGGCCUGCGCGGAAGAUGUAACGGGGCUAAACCAUGCACCGAAGCUGCGGCAGCGACACUGUGUGUUGUUGGGUAGGGGAGCGU